rnacentral:rRNA from 1 species
UAAAAAGACUACUUUCGCAUGAAAGAAGUUUAAAAAAAGGACGGCGUAAAGCUGUCGCUAAAGGAUGGACCUGCGAUGCAUUAGCUAGUUGGUAAGGUAACGGCUUACCAAGGCGAUGAUGCAUAGCCGAGUUGAGAGACUGAUCGGCCACAUUGGGACUGAGACACGGCCCAAACUCCUACGGGAGGCAGCAGUAGGGAAUCUUCCACAAUGGACGCAAGCCUGAUGGAGCAACGCCGCGUGAGUGAAGAAGGUUUUCGGAUCGUAAAGCUCUGUUGUUGGUGAAGAAGGAUAGAGGUAGUAACUGGCCUUUAUUUGACGGUAAUCAACCAGAAAGUCACGGGCUAACUACGUGCCAGCAGCCGCGGUAAAU